GUUACUUUGGCAGAUUUUAAUGCGUUAGGUUUAGGACCUAAAAAUAUAGAGCGUCUAUAAGUAAUA
rnacentral:tRNA from 1 species